rnacentral:rRNA from 1 species
AACGAACGCUGGCGGAAUGCCUAACACAUGCAAGUCGAACGAGAUCUUCGGGUCUAGUGGCGCACGGGCGCGUAACGCGUGGGAAUCUGCCCUUUGGUUCGGAAUAACGGUUGGAAACGACUGCUAAUACCGGAUGAUGACGAAAGUCCAAAGAUUUAUCGCCAGAGGAUGAGCCCGCGUAGGAUUAGCUAGUUGGUGUGGUAAAGGCGCACCAAGGCGACGAUCCUUAGCUGGUCUGAGAGGAUGAUCAGCCACACUGGGACUGAGACACGGCCCAGACUCCUACGGGAGGCAGCAGUGGGGAAUAUUGGACAAUGGGCGAAAGCCUGAUCCAGCAAUGCCGCGUGAGUGAUGAAGGCCUUAGGGUUGUAAAGCUCUUUUACCCGGGAUGAUAAUGACAGUACCGGGAGAAUAAGCUCCGGCUAACUCUGUGCCAGCCGCCGCCGUAA